AUAUCUGUUGAAAAAGUCUUCCAUAUGGUAUACCGAUGGAUUAAAAUCAGAGGGAGGAAUGGGUAUUGGGUUAUAAGGACCUAAAAUGAGGAUCUCUAAAUCCCUGGGAAGUGAGCCCUCAACCUUACACACCGAGGCACUAGCUGCACUCAUGAGUGUUUAAGAAGAAACCUCGAAGGGGCGCAUAUUUACAUCACUAAGGACAGCCAAGCCACGCCGAGGUCCCUGGAAUCAUAUUGCCAGGGGUCUCUUCUGACAUCGGCGUGCCGCAAUAUCAUGAAGCAACUGGCCAGAGGUAAUAAAGUAACUCUACUAUGGGUAACAGGACAUUGUGGUAUUGAAGGGAACGAGGUCCAACAAUAGGGGUGGAACAAUAGAAUAACCCUCUGGAGGAACAUUCCUGGUUUUGCUCAGGCAAAGAAAUUUGUGGUACUUUCACCGACAUAUACCAGGAAGCUCUUGAAGUUGCUACGAGCUGAGCUUCUGGUAAUGGUGGGAUUGUUGACAGCAUGGGUAUGGUCAGCAGAUAAGAUUUGCAGGCUCUGUGGAAAGGAGCUAGGAAUGGCCGUUGUCCAGGGACCGUAUUCUCGACAAGUGAUCUUUCAAAACGUAUACUUUCAUUCAGUGUUAAGAGCACUGAAAGUACGUAUACGUUUUGAAAGAUCACUUGUCGAGAAUACGGUCCCCGGCCUGACUGUUCUGAGAACCACUCAUAUUGGAUACUCGGAAAGUAACAGCCACGGUCACUAGGGAUGUUGUCGGCUUCAUUAUCAUUAUCGACGAUCUCCUCAUUCCCGGAAGGUUAAUAGAGCCGUUAUGAACCCGGUUCAAUAAUAAUAAUACAUGUUGUUUCAAUCUGUGGGCAAGGAGAAAUGUGAUACUUUUUUCCCAAAUUUUAUAUCAUAUUAUAACAUAUUAUUUCGUUAUAACACUAACCAAUAAUCAUUAUAGAUCCUGUGGUUCUGGUCUACAAAUAAUCUCUAACUGUACAAAAGUGGUAAAAG